rnacentral:rRNA from 1 species
GACGAACGCUGGCGGCGCGCUUAACACAUGCAAGUCGAGCGAGAACCAGGGCCUCGGCCCUGGGGACAGCGGCGAACGGGUGAGUAACACGUGGAUAACCUGCCCUCGGCACCGGGAUAGCCCGGGGAAACCCGGAUUAAUACCGGAUGGCCCUUCCGGCUCACGAGCCGGUCGGAAAAGGUAGCUUCGGCCUCCGGCCGAGGAUGGGUCCGCGGCGGAUUAGCUUGUUGGUGGGGUAACGGCCUACCAAGGCGCCGAUCCGUAGCUGGUCUGAGAGGACGAUCAGCCACACUGGUGCUGAGACACGGCCCGGACUCCUACGGGAGGCAGCAGUGGGGGAUCUUGCGCAAUGGGCGAAAGCCUGACGCAGCGGCGCCGCGUGAGGGAGGAAGGCCUUCGGGUUGUAAGCCUCUUUCAGGAGGGACGAAGCUACUCGGGUGAAUAGCCCAGAGGGUGACGGUACCUCCAGAAGAAGCCCCGGCUAACUACGUGCCAGCCGCCGCGGUAACAC